UUCCGGAAGAAACCUCCCAGAAUAAAUCCAUAUAGAGAGAUUCGAAUAUGAUGAAUGACUAGUUGCUUAAGCGUUCACGUUAGGGUCAUUUAAUCAAUUAUCUCCUGAAUGUAUCAUCUCUAUUUCCAAUAUCUGAACACACAAGGAAACUAUAAUCUCCUCCUUCACCUUAUCUGUCUCUUCCCUAUAGCAAUUCAGUCAUAUCAAUAACUACUAUUUCUACCAAUAUAUUCACCCUCAUAAUCUCCAACUCUAAUACUGUGCCCUCAUAGCUUUCAGCACACAAUUACCCUAAUUCUAAUUACUGGAAUUCUUCACACAGUACUGCCAUUUAUAUUACGGUGUCGUAUU
rnacentral:lncRNA from 1 species